UUCGUGUGCGCGUCUGUCUGUCCGUCUGUGCUUGUGGCUAUGAGCGUGUGCCUCCACCCACCCCACGACCCGUGACUACUGUGCAAGCUGGCCAGGAGGUGGGUGGAGGGCGAGGCCACCAGACCUGGCUUCUCGCUGUCCACUGCCUCUCUCCUCCCCUCCCUGCCGCAGACACGCAGGACCCGCUCGCCCUCCUGCUUACCCGUCCCCAUGGUGACUGAGCUGCGAGAGCCUGCACUGGGCUCACUCCCUGGCCUCCGCCCCUGAGCUGUCCCGUGUCAGUCCCUGGCCCGGAGCCAGGCUCUCUGUGCUACUUACUUACAUCUCCCUCCCUUGGCUGAGGUCCCCCGCCACAGCCUGGACCCUUCCCUCAGAAGCCUGGCCGGUGGGUGCUUUUGGGGAGCCUCUCAGCCUCUGGCAAGGGAGGAGGACUGACACGGAGGCACACAGGCCUCUCACUGCCGAGGCCAGCCUUCCUUCCUGCUCUGCUCUCUCAGUGCCAUGGAGAGGCAGGAAGAGGGGCCUGAGGGCGGAAGGGGUUUGGGGCUCCCAUUUCGCCGGCCAGUCCCUCCUCCUCAGCCUGGCAGUGGCGCUGGGCUCCUUCCCCUGGGCUGUACUGAGCCGAGCCCAGGGGUUUGCAGAGGGUGGGGGUCCAUCUCUCCAGCUUGGCUGCAGCCCUCCUUUACCCUGACUCACAAGCCCCACUGAUGCUCUGGGCCAUGCCCGGCUGACGGCUGCUGUGGAUGCCGCGAGGGACGGACACACGUCCGGGGCACCCACGAGGAGGGCCCCCAGCCUGGGAGACUGGCCCUGCGGCCUCCACGUCAAACUCUCUUCCCAAAGCCCUAACAGACCAGUGGCCGAGGUGUGGCUCUUAUCGCAUCCAUCCCUGAAGAUGUGUGGCUGUUGCUGUCACCUGGAGUCCUUUUGGGGCCAAGAUGUGUGUGCACCCGGGGUCGUGGCCAUUCACUCCCAGGCAGGGGUGAGGGUGGCCUGGCCCAGGAGGCCAGGAAGGAGGGCCCUGUCUGCCUCCACCUCUGGGUGCACCCCCUGCCUACCACCCUCCCUUCUAGAGAGCACAUCGCCUGACCGGGGAGAAGUGGGGCCGUGGUUCAAGGGAGGGCUGGCCAGGGGUGGGACCCUUAUGAGACUCAGUCUGUGAGUAAAACCGGGGGCUCAAAUGCCCAGGAUGAGGGGAUCAGUGACUGUCUAGGAGGAUCCCUUGCCUUGUAGGUGCCCCAAGACCGCAGGGUAGAGAUCAGCCGGGAUGCCUGCAUCCCACCCCCGGCCCCAGGGCCCACCACAUAAAAUCUGGGAGCCCAGAGCUGCUGAGGUGUGGUCAGCUCCCCUAAAAUGGGCACGGCCCAGCCUGUCCCAUGAGGAAUAAAGGCCCCUGGCCCCCUUGAGAGAGGGCUUGUUGGUGAGGGCUGACUCCUGGGGGCCCCCAAGGCUCCCCUCCUGUGGGGAGGCCACCUUUUAAGGCACCACUAGCAGUCAGGAUAUGGUGGCAUCAGCCCUGCAGUGCCCAUUUGGAAUUCCUCCCAAGACCCCUGGCCACCCAGACCCCCCAUUCUUCCUAACACUGGCAAUAAACCCUCAACUGUGACCCACCGUGGCCUGAAGCUGCCUCUGUGUCAGGGUCCCCAAGGAAGGGGCUGGGGGUGGACACACCAAACCAGCUCUUCUUUGGGGAUUCAAUGGCCCCCUCCUCGACUGCAUCAGACUUCCUUUGUGACCUGGGCCAAGUCCCUGCCCUCUCUGUGCUGUUUACUUGUCGGCAAAGUAGUGGCUGUGACAGCAUGUGACUGGGGCCAAUUAUCCAUUCAGACACAGCUGACACCUACUUUGUUCUGGGAACUUUAAUACUGUGACAAAGUUCUCUAAAAUAGGCACCUUCCCCACCGUACCUCAUCGCCCAGGGCAGGCAGGCAGGGCAGGCUAGAUCUCGUACCGACACUUGCGCACGCCUCCUCCUGGUGCAGAAAGAAACCUCUUCUGUACCGAAAUACAAGCAGCAGCUGUGGCCUGGGCCACCAGGUGGAGCACGGGAAACACUCUGGGCCCUGGGAGGACGAAGCCAGUGCCACUAGGAGCAGACUGGCUGGGGACGGUUGUCCACACGGACUCUGGCCCCAUCUGGGUGGGCAUCCUGGGCCAGAGGAGGGGCCCUGGCAUCUAUCCAACACCAGGACCUCU
rnacentral:lncRNA from 1 species